rnacentral:rRNA from 1 species
CACGUAGUUAGCCGGUGCUUAUUCUUCAGGUACCGUCAUUAGCUCAGGGUAUUAGCCCAAACCGUUUCUUCCCUGACAAAAGAGCUUUACAACCCGAAGGCCUUCUUCACUCACGCGGCAUUGCUGGAUCAGGCUUUCGCCCAUUGUCCAAAAUUCCCCACUGCUGCCUCCCGUAGGAGUCUGGACCGUGUCUCAGUUCCAGUGUGGCUGGUCGUCCUCUCAGACCAGCUACUGAUCGUAGCCUUGGUGAGCCUUUACCUCACCAACUAGCUAAUCAGAUAUCGGCCGCUCCAGGAGCACAAGGUCCGAAGAUCCCCUGCUUUCAUCCUUAGAUCGUAUGCGGUAUUAGCGUAACUUUCGCUACGUUAUCCCCCACUCUUGGGUACGUUCCGAUAUGUUACUCACCCGUUCGCCACUCGCCGCCAGGUUGCCCCGCGCUGCCGUUCGACUUGCAUGUGUAAAGCAUGCCGCCAGCGUUCAAUCUGAGCCAGGAUCAAACU